CUCUCCUACGGGACGCAGCAGUGGGGGAUAUUGCACAAUGGGGGAAACCCUGAUGCAGCGACGCCGCGUGAGUGAAGAAGUAUUUCGGUACGUAAAGCUCUAUCAGCAGGGAAGAAAAAUGACGGUACCUGACUAAGAAACCCCGGCUAACUACGUGCCAGCAGCCGCGGUAAUACGUAGGGGGCAAGCGUUAUCCGGAUUUACUGGGUGUAAAGGGAGCGUAGGCGGUAAUGCAAGUCAGAAGUGAAAGCCCGGGGCUCAACUCCGGGACUGCUUUUGAAACUGUGUUGCUAGAUUGCAGGAGG
rnacentral:rRNA from 1 species